UCUGGCAGCCAUAUCACCCUGUAGCCCAAGCCUGGUUGCCCACUGAAGCUAAGCAGGGCUGAGCCUGGUCAGUACCUGGAUGGGAGACCUCCUGGGAAAACUAGGUUGCUGCUGGAA
rnacentral:rRNA from 1 species